CUCUGCGACUCCCGUCGUGACACUGCUGCGCCCAUCGCCCCAGAACACCGCCAUCCCCAGCCUACAUCCCGUGCUCCUCGACUACUUGCCGUGGUGCUUUUCACUAUUAGUUUCCUUUUCUCCUUCUCCCAGGCCCUCUUUGCCUUGGGAAGCUGCGCAUCCCUGUGAGGAGAGUUUGUUUUUUUCCCCAACGGCGCCAGGACUCAUCUGAACGGCUGUGAAACCGGAGGUCACUGCCAAAUAUAAAGCACAGCAGCGCAAGAUGGGCUCAAAAUGAGCUGCUCCAGUACUUUAAUACGUACCAACAAUUGGCUAUGUUAUGGAAUCUGCGAUGUGGCCUUCACUGUUGACCUCUGCAACACAAUUCCCAGUCUGACUACGGAAACUGUUUGGUUUGAUCCUUUCAACUUAUUUGAAUCCUGACAAAUAAGCUCACAGCUGAAAGGUCAACACAGUCAUAUUUCAUCCUCUGGAGCUAUUCUUAAGACAUCUGCACAACAAAGCACUUCUUUUAGUACCUGACACUGGACCUAGCCAGCACAAUCUCUCAUUAAAAAUGUCCCCAGUGGAAGAGUCUAUUAAAAGGCAUAUGGAUCAGCUAUGGAUUUACCAAAUAAAAUAUUUUU